rnacentral:misc_RNA from 1 species
CCGAGUGAGGGCCCUUGCGGGCCCGACCUCCAACCCUUUGUCGAUGAAUAACACGUUGCCUCGGGGGGCGACCCGGCCCUCGCUGCCGGGAGCCGCCCAGGGGACCCAUCAAUUCUGCGUCUUUGCGUCGGAGUUUAAUUGAAAAAUCAAUCA